rnacentral:lncRNA from 1 species
AUGACAUCUAUAAUAUCUUUUCUACAUUUCUGUAUUUCAAAAAUAGCAAACCCAAAUUGGUCUCCGUACCUUGGGUUUUAGGGGGCAUGUUAGAAUGUUAAGUGUUACUGAUGGAGUAUGAAAAAUUUAAAACGUUAGAUGUAUUAAGUUUUUAAGUUAGAUUAUACUGCAUUAACAGAUGUGUAUUAUGUUUGAUCUUAUAGAUAGGUGUGUAUUGCAGUCAUCAAAUUGUCAAAUCUUGAAUAUGUCUCCUCUUAUUUUCUUAAAAAAAAGAAGCUUUUCCAGUGCUUAGUUCCUGAGGGGGGAAAAGGUUUUGCAUAAGUAGUCUCAAUCAUUGUCAAACUCAGAAAUUUGGGUUUUGGAGCUGCACCUCGCUACUAAUUUGCUCCAACUGUUUCGUAAGUGAAAGCUUGUGACAUAUCCAGAGAUGAGAUUCCGUGGUUCACGUCCAGAAGGAAUUUUGUAGUCAAGUCCUUUUGGUCCUGGGUUAAUGCAUGAUGGUCCUGUUCAUAUGUUUGCUCUUUAAUGUUUUCACAAAGCUUUUUCAGUAAGCAUACUUUAUCCAAUUACUGCAUGGUGGUCCAGUUCAUAUGUUUGCUCUUCAAGUUUUUCACAAAGCUUUUUCAGUAAACGUACCGUAUCAAAAAAAGAUUUUUCAGUAAAUGUUGAUGCUACAUUUAUUAUCCAUUGCAAUUAAGUACUUUUUGCUCCUAAAAGAUUUACCUGUUGCUGUCCUGCUCCAUUAUGGUGGUGUUCCAGAUGUUAC